rnacentral:rRNA from 1 species
AGUGGCGAACGGGUGAGUAAUACAUCGGAACGUGCCCAGCAAUGGGGGAUACCUCGGCGAAAGCCGGAUUAAUACCGCAUACCCCCUGAGGGGGAAAGUGGGGGAUCGCAAGACCUCGCGUUAUUGGAGCGGCCGAUGGCUGAUUAGCUAGUUGGCACGGUAAAGGCCUACCAAGGCGACGAUCCGUAUCUGGUCUGAGAGGACGACCAGCCACACUGGGACUGAGACACGGCCCACACUCCUACGGGAGGCAGCAGUGGGGAAUUUUGGACAAUGGGGGAAACCCUGAUCCACCAAUGCCGCGUGUGCGAACAACGCCUUCGGGUUGUAAAGCACUUUUGUCAGGGAAGAAAUCCUUUGGGCUAAUACCCUAGGGGGAUGACUGUACCUGAAGAAUAAGCACCGGCUAACUACGUGCCAGCAGCCGCGGUAAUACGUAGGGUGCAAGCGUUAAUCGGAAUUACUGGGCGUAAAGCGUGCGCAGGCGGUUGUGCAAGACAGGCGUGAAAUCCCCGGGCUUAACCUGGGAAUUGCAUUUGCGACUGCACGACUAGAGUGUGUCAGAGGGGGGAGGAAUUCCACGUGUAGCAAGUGAACUGCGUAGAUAUGUGGAGGAACACCAAUGGCGAAGGCAGCCCCCUGGGAUAACACUGACGCUCAUGCACGAAAGCGUGGGGAGCAAACAGGAUUAGAUACCCUGGUAGUCCACGCCCUAAACGAUGGCAACUAGUUGUUGGGGAUUUACUUCCUUGGUAACGUAGCUAACGCGUGAAGUUGAACGCCCGGGGAGUACGGCCGCAAGUUUAAAGCUCAAAGGAAUUUGACGGGGCCCCGCACAAGCGGUGGAUGAUGUGGAUUAAUUUGAUGCAACGCGAAAAACCUUACCUACCCUCGACAUGGCAGGAACUUUCCAGAGAUGGAUUGGUUCUCGAAAGAGAGCCUGCACACAGGUGCUGCAUGUCUGUCGUCAGCUUGUGUCGUGAGAUGUUGGGUUAAGUCCCGCAGCGAGCGCCUCCCUUGUCAUUAGUUGCUACGAAAGGGCACUUUAAUGAGACUGCCGGUGACAAACCGGAGGAAGGUGGGGAUGACGUCAAGUCCUCAUGGCCCUUAUGGGUAGGGCUUCACCCGUCAUACAAUGGUCGGUACAGAGGGUUGCCAAGCCGCGAGGUGGAGCCAAUCCCAGAAAACCGAUUGUAGUCCGGAUCGCAGUCUGCAACUCGACUGCGUGAAGUCGGAAUCGCUAGUAAUCGCGGAUCAGAAUGCCGCGGUGAAUACGUUCCCGGGUCUUGUACACACCGCCCGUCACACCAUGGGAGUGGGUUCUACCAGAAGUGGCUAAAGUAACCGCAAGGAGGACGGU